rnacentral:rRNA from 1 species
GAUGAACGCUGGCGGCGUGCCUAAUACAUGCAAGUCGAGCGAACAGACGAGGAGCUUGCUCCUCUGACGUUAGCGGCGGCCGGGUGAGUAACACGUGGAUAACCUACCUAUAAGACUGGGAUAACUUCGGGAAACCGGAGCUAAUACCGGAUAAUAUAUUGAACCGCAUGGUUCAAUAGUGAAAGACGGUUUUGCUGUCACUUAUAGAUGGAUCCGCGCCGCAUUAGCUAGUUGGUAAGGUAACGGCUUACCAAGGCAACGAUGCGUAGCCGACCUGAGAGGGUGGUCGGCCACACUGGAACUGAGACACGGUCCAGACUCCUACGAGAGGCAGCAGUAGGGAAUCUUCCGCAAUGGGCGAAAGCCUGACGGAGCAACGCCGCGUGAGUGAUGAAGGUCUUCGGAUCGUAAAACUCUGUUAUUAGGGAAGAACAAAUGUGUAAGUAACUAUGCACGUCUUGACGGUACCUAAUCAGAAAGCCACGGCUAACUACGUG